GCCCGAGUAGCUCAGUUGGUAGAGCGUGUGGCUGUUAACCACAAGGUCAGAAGUUCAAGUCUUCUCUCGGGCGC
rnacentral:tRNA from 1 species